GAUGAACGCUAGCGGUAGGCCUAACACAUGCAAGCCGAGCGGUAGAGUUUCUUCGGAAACUUGAGAGCGGCGCACGGGUGCGUAACACGUGUGCAACCUACCUUUAUCUGGGGGAUAGCCUUUCGAACGGAAGAUUAAUACCCCAUAAUAUAAUGAUUGGCAUCAAUUAUUAUUGAAAACUCUGGUGGCUAGAGAUGGGCACGCGCAAGAUUAGAUAGUUGGUUAGGUAACGGCUCACCAAGUCAAUGAUCUUUAGGGGUCAUGAGAGGGAGAUCCCCCAGACUGGUACUGCGACACGGACCAGACUGCUACGGGAGGCAGCAGUGAGGAAUAUUAGACGAUGGAGGAGAGCCUGAUCCAGCCAUCCCGCGGGAAGGAGGACGGUCCUAGGGAUUGUAAACUUCUUUUGUACAGGGAUAAACCUACCCUCGUGAGGGUAGCUGAAGGUACUGAAAGAAUAAGCACCGGCUAACUCCGUG
rnacentral:rRNA from 1 species